rnacentral:misc_RNA from 1 species
UCUCCGUAGGUGAACCUGCGGAGGGAUCAUUACAGGAUGGCAAAAGCUCUGUAACCACCGUUUAUCUCCCUGAACCUGCUUCUGCGAGCGGCCCCGGGGCGGGGCCGGGGCCGCAAGGGGCCCGCCGAAGCAACCUAAGCUCUCUCGCCUUAAGAAUCUCUGAGUAUCAUAUUAAACAAAAAAACAACUUUCAACAACGGAUCUCUUGGCUCUG